GCUAAGAAUAUUCCGCAAUGGGGGAAACCCUGACGGAGCGACGCCGCGUGGAUGAUGAAGGCCGGAAGGUUGUAAAGUCCUUUUGGGCGCAAAGAAUAAGUACGCGAGGAAAUGCGCGUGCGGUGACGGUAGCGCCUGAAUAAGCAACGGCUAAUUACGUGCCAGCAGCCGCGGUAACACGUAAGUUGCGAGCGUUGUUCGGAAUUAUUGGGCGUAAAGGGCAUGUAGGCGGUCGUGCAAGCUUGGUGUGAAAUCCCGGGGCUCAACUCCGGGACUGCGUUGAGAACUGCACGGCUAGAGUAACUGAGGGGCAGCCGGAAUUCCAGGUGUAGGGGUGAAAUCUGUAGAUAUCUGGAAGAACACCAAUGGCGAAGGCAGGCUGCCAGCAGAUUACUGACGCUGAGGUGCGAAGGUGCGGGGAGCAAACAGGAUUAGAAACCCUAGUAGUCC
rnacentral:rRNA from 1 species